UAAAACAGUGCUCUGCAGCUUUCCAAUGCAACCUCAGCAUAUAUACCAACUGUCAGCAAUUCACACUUCUGCUUGGAUGAUUUUGAAUAUAUUUGAAGUCUGUGCUUCGCCAUCAACAGAAGGAAGAUUUUGAAGUCGAGCUGUUCAAAUGUUGAAUGCCACACUCAGAGUGCUGCUAAACCAGGUAUCCUGUCUUUGUCAGCCACAGAACCAGGAAGAAAUAGUGACUGUUUCACACCUUCACUCUCACUGAGGAGUACGGAGCUCUAACACAGCAGUGGCAGAGAUUCACAAAUUCAGCAGACCUGGGAUUGAACCUGGAACCCAUGGGAAUAACCCAGGAUUGUGAAAUUAUCCAGCUGACGUCGCUUGGCAAGAAGAAAGAAUGGCCAGCAUUUAUAGAAAUUCCAUUAAUGAAGAUUCCAUCACUGAAGAUGCGGUAAAGCAGUUAUUGCUGGAAGUUACAUUAUGGCUUGGAUUUUCAAUGCCCAGACAUUCUGCAGAUCUCCGUAGUAGUAGACUCCGAAAGAAUGAAAAGAAAUUGAAGAUUCCACUGGGCAAUUCUCCUACACUUGGACCUCUGCAAAAAUCUUCAAAAGAAUUUGGAGGGUUCUAAUGAAAUUAAGCAAAAUAAUUAUUCACGAAAAAAAUAGACGAUUAAAUACCUAGUCUAACUCCUGAAUAACUGUUCAACUGAGUCCAUACUUACCCCAUAUAUCCCCAACUACACCCAUCCCACAGCAUGAACCACCCCUGAAUUCUGUCAGUAAUCAUUGAGUGUCAAUCGAUGAUGCUAAUUUGCACUUCACUGCUAAUGGGUGGGAUUCCUGCUUCAGUUCGUACUGCUCCCGACUUAAUUGAGGGUAAUUUUCCUGAAUCCAAUACUCCCACUCAAUUCGUCCAGGUCCCCACCAUUGUUUCCUCUUUCGUAGCCUCAAGUAAAUUCUGCCUGUUAACUCUGUUCCCAUCUCCACAGUUGUUGACUGAAUGACCGAAGAUAUCCAGCAUUUUUUUUUUUACCUCAGGUUUUUGGCAUUCUCUUAAUUUUAUUUUUAUUCUAUUUCAAAAUAGCCUCAAAGGAGCUCCCACUGGCUGUUGCAUUGUGAUUCUGCUUGGCUGAUACAUCCUUGUGCUUUAGUAACUGUAACUUGUUCGUAUUAGAUGACAGCUGGGGACUCCUUAUACGUCCUUUUGUU